AAUCAACGCUGGCGGCGUGCCUAACACAUGCAAGUCGAACGCGAGAGGGGCUUCGGCCCUGAUUGAGUGGCAAACGGGUGAGUAACGCGUGGGUGACCUACCUUCGAGUGGGGGAUAACGUUCCGAAAGGGACGCUAAUACCGCAUAACAUCCUGUCUUUGGACAGAUGGAGAUCAAAGCCGGGAUCGUAAGACCUGGCGCUUGAGGAGGGGCCCGCGUCCGAUUAGCUAGUUGGUGGGGAAUGGCUCACCAAGGCAACGAUCGGUAGCCGGCCUGAGAGGGCGGACGGCCACACUGGGACUGAGACACGGCCAGACUCCUACGGGAGGCAGCAGGUCGGGGAAUUGUCGCAAUGGGCGCAAGCCUGACGACGCAACGCCGCGUGAAGGAUGAAGGUC
rnacentral:rRNA from 1 species